rnacentral:lncRNA from 1 species
CUUUCACACCAACUGGUACUUGCUGGUCCUGAAGAUGUUAAAAGAGAGCAAAGUGCCUUGGGGAUCAGGAAAUGUUGGUUCAAAUUCUAAAUCUGCUAUACCUAGGCUGUGCAGCCACGGGCAAGUCACGUCCCCUUGUUGGGACUCAGUUUUCCCAUCAGUAAAGUGAAAGGAUGAGAUUAAACAAGGUCCACCACCCUUUCAUGCUGUAAGAUUCUAUGGUGCUAUUUGAAUGGCCAUUUAAUUCCCGCAGGUCUCUUCUCCCUGUUGGCUCUGGAGAACAUGUCAGUUUCCCUAGCCUCCCCGAGCAUCAGAAUCACCUGAAAUGCUGUUAAAAAUAAAAAAUUUCAGCCCUUUUAUCCCAAUUCACUGCCUCAGAAUCUCCAGGGCAGAGUCUUGGGAAGUGGGGAGAGACAUCAAGAGUCCCAGGUGAAUUUCGUCUUCAGGGGAGUUUGGAUAACAAGAUGCUAAGCUAAUUGGAUUUCAUGGCUGGUAUGGUUUGAUGUGCUAUUUGUCCUAGUUAAAAUAUUUACAUUUUAAAGGGGCCUCAGCUGCCUAAACCCAAAGUUUAUUAGUGUUAGUGAGAAUAACAUGGGGGGAGGAGGAAGCAUUUACGGAGAGCCUCGCUAAUGCCUGGAAACAGCUGAAUGUCACAUAUUCUCUCAUCCACCUCUCACUAGCUCUGUGAACUUGGUCAGGUGACAGAUGGCAACCUGGGGCAAGGAGGUGGCUUGGCGUUGAGGUUCCAGCUUAACCACAUUCACAAAGAGAGAUUGAGACAAGGAUCAGAGAGGAGCAGGUCGAAACAACAGCAACAAAAACAACCAAAGAAGUGGAAAGGAUUGAGCUAGAGGUUCAGAGUUGUAUGUUCCACACCAUUAUGCCGGCAAAGGACAAGGAAAAAACCACUGGACUGAAUUUGUUAAAAUUGUGUCUUGUUUGUUUACACGCCAGAUAGUAUGUUUGGAGAUUUUUUCAAAGGUAUUUUUUGUUCAUUUUGCCUUGAUUCAGUUCCAACACUGGAAAUUAAACUCAGCCCAUUUACUUGUUCUGAGCGUGUUUAGCAAAAUACUUCCCUUUCACAAACUCGUCCUACAUCCUUGCUCAGAGAAGGUGAAAGUCUUCCCUGAUCCCAAGAUCUUGUAUUCGCACAGUGUUCUGAGGGGAUAAACACAG